AACGAACGCUAGCGGCAGGCUUAACACAUGCAAGUCGAGCGAGACCUUCGGGUCUAGCGGCGGACGGGCGAGUAACGCGUGGGAACGUGCCCUUCUCUACGGAAUAGCCCCGGGAAACUGGGAGUAAUACCGGAUACGCCCUUUGGGGGCAAGAUUUAUCGGAGAAGGAUCGGCCCGCGUUGGAUUAGGUAGUUGGUGGGGUAAUGGCCCACCAAGCCGACGAUCCAUAGCUGGUUUGAGAGGAUGAUCAGCCACACUGGGACUGAGACACGGCCCAGACUCCUACGGGAGGCAGCAGUGGGGAAUCUUAGACAAUGGGGGCAACCCUGAUCUAGCCAUGCCGCGUGAGUGAUGAAGGCCUUAGGGUUGUAAAGCUCUUUCAGCUGGGAAGAUAAUGACGGUACCAGCAGAAGAAGCCCCGGCUAACUCCGUGCCAGCAGCCGCCGUAA
rnacentral:rRNA from 1 species